GGAUGAUGUUGCGUGACAACAUUGUGACAUCAUAACUUACGCUGUUUUAUUUGCUGUUGCACCAAUAUAACAUAAAGGCAUAUAACAGCACCUUGGAUGUAUGUAGUGCUUCCCUCCCAUGGAACUUAAGGCACUUCACAGGCAUUUUCUUUCUAAACCUCACAACAUCUCUCUAAGGAAAAGUGCUUUGCAAGAGUUGGAGAAAAGACAAAUACUCAAACCAAUCAUGCCUCAGUUGCAGGACCAUUAUCAAGCAAGCAAGAUUAUAUGCCACACACAGAACACAAAGAAAAGUUGUCAUUUUAGCAAACAGAGCAGCCAUCCUUGGACCAACAAAAUCUCAUGCUAAGAUGAUGUCAGGAGAAAGAAUCACUGCAGACAGUGACUGCAGCCAUGAAAUUAAAAGUGGGAGGAGAUACCCCUCAUCCAAGGUAAAGAGCAGCGGCUGUGCUUUGCUGGAGCAGCUGUGAAGAGAUACCCCACGCCCAAGGACUGAAAGGGGCGAUGAGGGGACAACCCCUCUAUUGGUUUCCUAGGUAACUGAUGAACGAAUCUGAUGUCAAAUCUCCUAUAAGUGGUAACCUCCCCCGCCCCCCUGGGAGUGAAGAUUGCUACCUUGUCCUGCUGGCCAUCUGCCACACACAAUGGAGUGUGGCUCCAGAACCCUGCUUCAGAUGUGAAAGAUUCCCCCAUCCAUUAAACCACUGAUGGCUC
ensembl:lncRNA